rnacentral:rRNA from 1 species
UACGAAGGGGGCUAGCGUUGUUCGGAAUUACUGGGCGUAAAGCGUACGUAGGCGGAUUGUUAAGUGAGGGGUGAAAUCCCGAGGCUCAACCUCGGAACUGCCUUUCAUACUGGCAAUCUUGAGUCCGGGAGAGGUGAGUGGAACUCCUAGUGUAGAGGUGAAAUUCGUAGAUAUUAGGAAGAACACCAGUGGCGAAGGCGGCUCACUGGCCCGGAACUGACGCUGAGGUACGAAAGCGUGGGGAUCAAACAGG